rnacentral:rRNA from 1 species
GUAGUCUGCAACCCGACUACAUGAAGCUGGAAUCGCUAGUAAUCGCGAAUCAGAAUGUCGCGGUGAAUACGUUCCCGGGUCUUGUACACACCGCCCGUCACACCAUGGGAGUCGGAAAUGCCCGAAGUCAGUGACCCAACCGUAAGGAGGGAGCUGCCGAAGGUGGAGCCGGUAACUGGGGUGAAGUCGUAACAAGGUAUC